CUACAGGCUUAACACAUGCAAGUCGAGGGGCAGCAUGGUCUUAGCUUGCUAAGGCCGAUGGCGACCGGCGCACGGGUGAGUAACACGUAUCCAACCUGCCGUCUACUCUUGGACAGCCUUCUGAAAGGAAGAUUAAUACAAGAUGGCAUCAUGAGUCCGCAUGUUCACAUGAUUAAAGGUAUUCCGGUAGACGAUGGGGAUGCGUUCCAUUAGAUAGUAGGCGGGGUAACGGCCCACCUAGUCUUCGAUGGAUAGGGGUUCUGAGAGGAAGGUCCCCCACAUUGGAACUGAGACACGGUCCAAACUCCUACGGGAGGCAGCAGUGAGGAAUAUUGGUCAAUGGGCGAGAGCCUGAACCAGCCAAGUAGCGUGAAGGAUGACUGCCCUAUGGGUUGUAAACUUCUUUUAUAAAGGAAUAAAGUCGGGUAUGGAUACCCGUUUGCAUGUACUUUAUGAAUAAGGAUCGGCUAACUCCGUGCCAGCAGCCGCGGUAAUACGGAGGAUCCGAGCGUUAUCCGGAUUUAUUGGGUUUAAAGGGAGCGUAGAUGGAUGUUUAAGUCAGUUGUGAAAGUUUGCGGCUCAACCGUAAAAUUGCAGUUGAUACUGGAUAUCUUGAGUGCAGUUGAGGCAGGCGGAAUUCGUGGUGUAGCGGUGAAAUGCUUAGAUAUCACGAAGAACUCCGAUUGCGAAGGCAGCCUGCUAAGCUGCAACUGACAUUGAGGCUCGAAAGUGUGGGUAUCAAACAGGAUUAGAUACCCUGGUAGUCCACACGGUAAACGAUGAAUACUCGCUGUUUGCGAUAUACUGCAAGCGGCCAAGCGAAAGCGUUAAGUAUUCCACCUGGGGAGUACGCCGGCAACGGUGAAACUCAAAGGAAUUGACGGGGGCCCGCACAAGCGGAGGAACAUGUGGUUUAAUUCGAUGAUACGCGAGGAACCUUACCCGGGCUUAAAUUGCAGAUGAAUUACGGUGAAAGCCGUAAGCCGCAAGGCAUCUGUGAAGGUGCUGCAUGGUUGUCGUCAGCUCGUGCCGUGAGGUGUCGGCUUAAGUGCCAUAACGAGCGCAACCCUUGUUGUCAGUUACUAACAGGUUCCGCUGAGGACUCUGACAAGACUGCCAUCGUAAGAUGUGAGGAAGGUGGGGAUGACGUCAAAUCAGCACGGCCCUUACGUCCGGGGCUACACACGUGUUACAAUGGGGGGUACAGAGGGCCGCUACCACGCGAGUGGAUGCCAAUCCCCAAAACCUCUCUCAGUUCGGACUGGAGUCUGCAACCCGACUCCACGAAGCUGGAUUCGCUAGUAAUCGCGCAUCAGCCACGGCGCGGUGAAUACGUUCCCGGGCCUUGUACACACCGCCCGUCAAGCCAUGGGAGCCGGGGGUACCUGAAGUGCGUAACCGCGAGGAGCGCCCUAGGGUAAAACUGGUGACUGG
rnacentral:rRNA from 1 species